rnacentral:rRNA from 1 species
UUAGCUCGUAGUUUUCAUGAGAGUCGAUUGCCAAGAAAACCCACGCCACCUACAACGGUUCCUGAUGAGGUGGUUAGCAUAGUUCUUAAUAUAAGUUUUAAUAUACAGCCUGAAAAUCUUGAGAGAAUAAAAGAAGAACAUCGAUUUUCCAUGGCAGCUGAGAAUAUUGUAGGAGAUCUUCUAGAAAGAUAGAGUUUGAUCCUGGCUCAGAUUGAACGCUGGCGGCAGGCCUAACACAUGCAAGUCGAGCGGUAACAGAUCUAGCUUGCUAGAUGCUGACGAGCGGCGGACGGGUGAGUAAUGCAUAGGAAUCUACCCGGUAGUGGGGGAUAACCUGGGGAAACCCAGGCUAAUACCGCAUACGUCCUACGGGAGAAAGGGGGCUCCGGCUCCCGCUAUCGGAUGAGCCUAUGUCGGAUUAGCUAGUUGGUGAGGUAAUGGCUCACCAAGGCAACGAUCCGUAGCUGGUCUGAGAGGAUGAUCAGCCACAUCGGGACUGAGACACGGCCCGAACUCCUACGGGAGGCAGCAGUGGGGAAUAUUGGAAAACGGGCGAAAGCCUGAUCCAGCCAUGCCGCGUGUGUGAAGAAGGCCUUCGGGUUGUAAAGCACUU